rnacentral:rRNA from 1 species
UGGGGAAUAUUGCGCAAUGGGGGGAACCCUGACGCAGCCAUGNCGCGUGAAUGAAGAAGGCCUUAGGGUUGUAAAGUUCUUUCGGUAUUGAGGAAGGUUGAUGUGUUAAUAGCACAUCAAAUUGACGUUAAAUACAGAAGAAGCACCGGCUAACUCCGUGCCAGCAGCCGCGGUAAUACGGAGGGUGCGAGCGUUAAUCGGAAUAACUGGGCGUAAAGGGCACGCAGGCGGUUAUUUAAGUGAGGUGUGAAAGCCCCGGGCUUAACCUGGGAAUUGCAUUUCAGACUGGGUAACUAGAGUACUUUAGGGAGGGGUAGAAUUCCACGUGUAGCGGUGAAAUGCGUAGAGAUGUGGAGGAAUACCGAAGGCGAAGNNNGCCCCUUGGGAAUGUACUGACGCUCAUGCGCGAAAGCGUGGGGGAGCAAACAGGAUUAGAUACCCUGGUAGUCCACGCUGUAAACGCUGUCGAUUUGGGGGUUGGGGUUUAACUCUGGCGCCCGUAGCUAACGUGAUAAUCGACCGCCUGGGAGUACGGCCGCAAGNU